AAUUAUGUAAAUUCAACCACCAAAGAAUUUUUGUUGACAACAACUUUCGUCUCGAAAGUGAGACAGCGAUCCUACAUUGUUGUGGUCCACAAUUAUUCACUCAGUGGUUUAAUAACUUUCUUAAUCUAUCCUGGAUUUCUACUAAACUUGGACAGAUGCUUGUUUGUGAUUAUAAGACAGUAUCCAGAUGUAUAUUCGUUAAAAAAAAACCACCCUG
rnacentral:lncRNA from 1 species